UCCCUAGUAGCUCAGAUGGUAAAGUAUCUGCCUGCAAUACAGGAGACCUGGGUUCGAUCCCUGGGUUGGGAA
rnacentral:tRNA from 1 species